rnacentral:rRNA from 1 species
UACGAGGGGGGCUAGCGUUGCUCGGAAUUACUGGGCGUAAAGCGCACGUAGGCGGCUCUUUAAGUCGGGGGUGAAAUCCUGGAGCUCAACUCCAGAACUGCCUUUGAUACUGAGGAUCUUGAGUUCGGGAGAGGUGAGUGGAACUGCGAGUGUAGAGGUGAAAUUCGUAGAUAUUCGCAAGAACACCAGUGGCGAAGGCGGCUCACUGGCCCGAUACUGACGCUGAGGCACGAAAGCGUGGGGAGCAAACAGGG